rnacentral:piRNA from 1 species
UGGAACUGGAGCUGAAACUUUUCUGGAGUC